UACGUAGGGUGCGAGCGUUGUCCGGAAUUAUUGGGCGUAAAGGGCGCGUAGGCGGUCGUGACAAGUCACUUGUGAAAUCUCCGGGCUUAACUCGGAACGGUCAAGUGAUACUGUCGGACUAGAGUACAGAAGGGGCAACUGGAAUUCUCGGUGUAGCGGUGAAAUGCGUAGAUAUCGAGAGGAACACCUGCGGCGAAGGCGGGUUGCUGGGCUGAUACUGACGCUGAGGCGCGAAAGCCAGGGGAGCGAACGGG
rnacentral:rRNA from 1 species